rnacentral:rRNA from 1 species
AUGAGUCGCGGCGUGGAGCGACUCCUAAACGAGGUGAUGGAAGGCAUGGACCAAGACGAUCUGGUCACCAAAUCGGCACCUCCAGCUGGGUCUAGUUCGGCGGCGAAACUCACAUCACCAUCAGCGAGUGAUCCAGCUUCGAAUUCUUCAACUGCGGCAGGGAACGAUCUCAUUGCCAAAUCCACCUUCCUGGUGACAAAACCUACUUCUCUAGCAACAUCAACCGGGACCACUGAAGCAAACAAAAAAGGGUCACCAGGAGCUAUCAACAGCAAAAAUGAUGGGGUGACUGUGAAUAGGCCAAGAUCGUCUGCUUUUGAUGUCACAAACAAGUCAACUAAAUUAGAAGGCUUCUACUCCCCUGAAGCAAAGGAGCUCCAGGCAAUACUUAAGAGACACCAGAACAUCCUUGCCGGAGAAAGUACUCUACUAGAGAAGCUCAAAGUCCCUCUAGCUAACAACAUCUCGAUGCCAAGCCUUGUCCUCCCGCCCGGAACAGCAGCAAAGUAUCUCGAUAGGACUCAAAGAUGUAAAAAAGGCACUAAGGGAGCAGCCGAUCGAUGA